GACGAACGCUGGCGGCGUGGAUUAGGCAUGCAAGUCGAACGGUAUCAUCCUUUCGGGGGUGAGAGAGUGGCGAACUGGUGAGUAACACGUAGGUUAUCUACCCUCAAGACGGGGACAACCCAGGGAAACUUGGGCUAAUACCGGAUGUGAGCAACUUUUAGUUGUUUGAAGGGUGGCGUAAGCUGUCGCUUGGGGAUGAGCCUGCGUCCUAUUAGUUAGUUGGUGAGGUAACGGCUCACCUAGGCAAUGAUAGGUAGGCGGCCUUAACGGGUGGUCGCCCACACUGGGAUUGAGAUACGGCCCAGACUCCUACGGGAGGCAGCAGUCGGGAAUAUUAGUAAUGGGCGAAAGUCUGACGCAGCAACGCCGCGUGGGUGAUGAAGGUCUUCGGAUUGUAAAACCCUGUCGUCAGGGACGAAGGUUGGGGCUUUAAUAGAGUUUCAACUUGACGGUACCUGGAGAGGAAGCCCCGGCUAACUCUGUG
rnacentral:rRNA from 1 species